rfam:Ovis aries breed Texel chromosome 16, whole genome shotgun sequence.
UUCCUGGUGGUUCAGUGGUUAGGACUUGACACUUUUACUGCUGGGGCCUAGGUUCAUUCCCUGGUCAGGGAA